rnacentral:rRNA from 1 species
UACGUAGGUGGCAAGCGUUAUCCGGAUUUAUUGGGUUUAAAGGGUGCGUAGGCGGACGCUUAAGUCAGCGGUAAAAUUGCGGGGCUCAACCUCGUCGAGCCGUUGAAACUGGGUGCCUUGAGUGGGCGAGAAGUACGCGGAAUGCGUGGUGUAGCGGUGAAAUGCAUAGAUAUCACGCAGAACUCCGAUUGCGAAGGCAGCGUACCGGCGCCCAACUGACGCUGAAGCACGAAGGCGUGGGUAUCGAACAGG